rnacentral:rRNA from 1 species
AUGCACGCUGGCGGCGUGCUUAACACAUGCAAGUCGCACGCAGCACUUAAGAUUGAUUCUUCGGAUGACGUCUUUUGUGACUUAGUGGCGGACGGGUGAGUAACGCGUGGGUAACCUGCCUCACACAGGGGGAUAACAGUUAGAAAUGACUGCUAAUACCGCAUAACCCGAUAGGAUCGCAUGAUCCAGACGGAAAAGAUUUAUCGGUGUGAGAUGGACCCGCGUCUGAUUAGCUAGUUGGUGAGGUAACGGCCCACCAAGGCGACGAUCAGUAGCCGGCCUGAGAGGGUGAACGGCCACAUUGGGACUGAGACACGGCCCAAACUCCUACGGGAGGCAGCAGUGGGGAAUAUUGCACAAUGGGGGAAACCCUGAUGCAGCGACGCCGCGUGAGUGAAGAAGUAUUUCGGUAUGUAAAGCUCUAUCAGCAGGGAAGAAAAUGACGGUACCUGACGAAGAAGCCCCGGCUAACUACGUG